rnacentral:lncRNA from 1 species
CACCUGGGUGAGUUUCUGAACCUCUCUGUGCCUCCCUUGCUCUCUUGCUAGAAGGAGUCACCCUCAGAGUGUGGGCCUCGCAGGAUGCGCCCUGAGGGUGUGCCGUUGCUCAAGGUGCUUCAGGAGGCCAGAGCCCGUCCACACCUCUUCAGAAGAUCUCUAACAGGCCAAGACGGUGCAGCGUGGCAGCUGUACCACCAGGCUCCCAGGAUCCUGGACCACCUCCUACCACAGCCACUAAGCCCAAGAGUUGGAAGAUAGAGAUGUUGGAGCAAUCAUCCCCAACCUCCUGCCUGAGGAGAGUCCACCUGUGCAACUGCUGAUCCACUCCAGUAACAUUCUGGGGGGAAGCUUAGGUCUUUGGAGGCAGGUCUUCCCAGGGCUCA